GGACACCACGGUAGGAUUCAUGACUGGGGUGAAGUCGUAACAAGGUAGCCGUAUCGGAAGGUGCGGCUGGAUCACCUCCUUUCCAG
rnacentral:rRNA from 1 species